CCCUUCGGGGUGAGCGGCGGACGGGUGAGUAACGCGUGGGUAACCUGCCCUGUACACACGGAUAACAUACCGAAAGGUAUGCUAAUACGAGAUAAUAUAUUUUAAUCGCAUGGUUAAGAUAUCAAAGCUCCGGCGGUACAGGAUGGACCCGCGUCUGAUUAGCUAGUUGGUGAGGUAAUGGCUCACCAAGGCGACGAUCAGUAGCCGACCUGAGAGGGUGAUCGGCCACACUGGAACUGAGACACGGUCCAGACUCCUACGGGAGGCAGCAGUGGGGAAUAUUGCACAAUGGGCGAAAGCCUGAUGCAGCAACGCCGCGUGAGCGAUGAAGGCCUUCGGG
rnacentral:rRNA from 1 species